GACGAACGCUGGCGGCGUGCUUAACACAUGCAAGUCGAACGAGAGGACAAGAGAAGCUUGCUUCUUUUGGAAUCGAGUGGCAAACGGGUGAGUAACACGUAAACAACCUGCCUUCAGGAUGGGGACAACAGACGGAAACGACUGCUAAUACCGAAUACGCUUGGGAGACCGCAUGAUCUUCCAAGGAAAGGGUGGCCUCUACUUGUAAGCUAUCGCCUGAAGAGGGGUUUNCGUCUGAUUAGGCAGUUGGUGAGGUAACGGCCCACCAAACCUACGAUCAGUAGCCGGUCUGAGAGGAUGAACGGCCACACUGGAACUGAGACACGGUCCAGACUCCUACGGGAGGCAGCAGUGGGGAAUCUUCCGCAAUGGGCGAAAGCCUGACGGAGCAACGCCGCGUGAGUGAU
rnacentral:rRNA from 1 species